rnacentral:lncRNA from 1 species
AAUAUUAAAAUAAAAACCUUAAUUAAAUUCCAAUCAAAAUCUAGUCAAACCUUGAUCAAACCUCAAUCAAAUCUUCAUCAAAUUCUUGUCAAAUCUUAGUCAAUCCCUAAAUAAUUCCUGACCAAAUCUUAGACAAAUUCUAGUCAAAUCCUAGUUAAAUUCUAGUCAAAUCCUAAUCAAACCUUAAUCAAAUUCUAAAAAAAUCCUAAUAAAAUUUUAAUCAAAUCCUAAAUAAAUCCUAGUCAAAUCUUAAAUAAAUCCUAGUCAAAUCCUACACAAAUCCUAAAUAAAUUCUAAUUGAAUCCUAAUCAAAUCCUAGUCAAAUCCUAAAUAAAUUCUAAUCAAAUCCUAAAAAAGUCUUAAUUAAAUUCUAAUCAAAUCUUAAUCAAAUCCUAAAUAAAUCUUAAAUAAGUCCUAAUUAAAUCUCAAUAAAUCUUAGUCAAAUCCUAGUCAAAUCCUAAUAAAAUCCUAAUCAAAUUGUAAAUAAAUUCUAAUAAAAGCUUAAUCAAAUUCUAAAGAAAUUCUAAAUAAGCCGUAACCAAAUUCUAGACAAAUCUUACUCAAACUCUAGUCAAAUCCUAAUCAAAUCCUAAAAAAAUCCUAAUCAAAUUCUAAAUAAAUCCUAAUCAAAUUCUAGAUAAAUCCUAAAUAAGUUCUAAUCAAAUCCUAAACAAAUCUUAGUCAAACUCUAAACAAAUUCUAAUCAAAUCCUAACCAAAUCCUAACCUAAAACAAAUCUUAACUUUAACCAAACCUUAAAUCAAUCCAAAAUCCUAACCCUAAACUUAAACCAAAUCCUAAUCAAUCCCAAGUAAUUCCUAUAGCAGAUUUAAAUCUCAAUAAGUAAUGAAUGAAUUGUUGAUUUUAACUCAAAUUUUACACACUUCUUAACAAUUAAGUUAACAACAAGCAUUAAAAAAAUUGAAAUGGAUCGGAAUUACCAAAUAGUUCAUAACCUCAAAAAUGUACUCGAGUAUUGCUCGGCCUCUUUCUCUAACCUUAAUGCCAAUUUCUUAGAGCCAAUUACUCCUAAUUGAAUUGUUAUUUUGCUUUCAAAAUUUAGAUACUUGUUAAAAAUCAAGCUAACUAUCUUUAUAAAAAAAAUUGCCUUAAUCUAAUUGGUAUAUUAAUAGAUAUCUAAAAAAACCUCAUUGAUCUUUAAAACCCUAAAUUUGGAGAUCAUAAUCCAUAAAAAUCUUUAUGCCUUUCAAUCUAAAAAUUCAAUCAAAUCUAAAUUCACACCAUACAUCAAGCACAACUAUAUCCACAAAUCUAAAAAUUUUCACUUGUAGAUCUUUUGCCAAACUUACAAAAUUCUCCAAAAAAUAUCACCUAUUUUAUUUCUCAAAUUCAGAGUCAUCCAAAACAAAUUAAAACUUUGUAAAGCUCUUACAAAUUCAAUACAUACUCAAAUCACUCCAAAUCAAU